CCUACGGGCGGCUGCAGUGAGGAAUAUUGCACAAUGGGCGAAAGCCUGAUGCAGCAACGCCGCGUGAGCGAUGAAGGCCUUCGGGUCGUAAAGCUCUGUCCUCAAGGAAGAUAAUGACGGUACUUGAGGAGGAAGCCCCGGCUAACUACGUGCCAGCAGCCGCGGUAAUACGUAGGGGGCUAGCGUUAUCCGGAAUUACUGGGCGAAAAGGGUGCGUAGGUGGUUUCUUAAGUCAGAGGUGAAAGGCUACGGCUCAACCGUAGUAAGCCUUUGAAAGUGGGGAACUUGAGUGCAGGAGAGGAGAGUGGAAUUCCUAGUGUAGCGGUGAAAUGCGUAGAUAUUAGGAGGAACACCAGUUGCGAAGGCGGCUCGCUGGACUGUAACUGACACUGAGGCACGAAAGCGUGGGGAGCAAACAGGAUUAGAUACCCCUGUAGUC
rnacentral:rRNA from 1 species